CCUACGGGGGGCAGCAGUGGGGAAUCUUGCACAAUGGGGGAAACCCUGAUGCAGCAACGCCGCGUGAAGGAAGACGGUUUUCGGAUUGUAAACUUCUAUCAAUAGUGAAGAAAGAAAUGACGGUACCUAAAUAAGAAGCCCCGGCUAACUACGCACCAGCAGCCGCGGAAAUACGUAGGGGGAACGCGUUAACCGGAAUUACUGGGAGUAAAGGGAGAGUAGGUGGCAAGGUAAGCGAUAUGUGAAAGCCUUAAGCUUAACUUAAGGAGGGCAUAACGAACUACCUAGCUAGAGUUCAGGAGAGGAGAGCGGAAUUCCUAGUGUAGCGGUGAAAUGCGUAGAUAUAAGGAAGAACACCAGUGGCGAAGGCGGCUUUCUGGACUGAAACUGACGCUGAGGCUCGAAAGCGUGGGGAGCGAACAGGAUUAGAUACCCCUGUAGUC
rnacentral:rRNA from 1 species